UCGGGAUAGCUCAGCUGGUAGAGCAGAGGACUGAAAACC
rnacentral:tRNA from 1 species